GACGAAGGAUGCAAGCGUUAUCCGGAUUCAUUGGGUUUAAAGGGAGCGUAGGCGGAUUUGUAAGUCAGUGGUGAAAUCUCUGGGCUCAACCCAGAAACUGCCAUUGAUACUGCAGAUCUAGAGUACAGUUGCCGUUGGCGGAAUAUGACAUGUAGUGGUGAAAUACUUAGAUAUGUCAUAGAACACCGAUUGCGAAGGCAGCUAACGAAACUGUAACUGACGCUGGGGCUCGAAAGUGCGGGGAUCAAACAGG
rnacentral:rRNA from 1 species